CAAUGGAUCUCGGUAGCCGGGGGGAAAUUCACAGUCCUUUCUUUUGUAGCAAGUUUAAUCUUGAUUUACUUUACUCCACCAAGGAGACUGAAGACGAAAGUCUUACUCUUGAUGUUGGCUUCCUAUUCAUUCAGUGCUUCUAUUAGCGCUUUUACCAAUUAUCUCUACAAAAUCAAGCAACGCUAUGUUCUCAGACUUUUGUCAGGUGCAACAAUUGGCUAUGGAAAUUUCUUGUAUAGAACCACCACGACAAGGGAAAGGAUCAAGCAAUAUUGCUUUGUUCUAAUGAUCUCCGCAAUUCCUUCCCUUCUC